UACGGAGGAUCCAAGCGUUAUCCGGAAUCAUUGGGUUUAAAGGGUCCGUAGGCGGUUUGGUAAGUCAGUGGUGAAAGCCCAUCGCUCAACGGUGGAACGGCCAUUGAUACUGCCAGACUUGAAUUAUUAGGAAGUAACUAGAAUAUGUAGUGUAGCGGUGAAAUGCUUAGAGAUUACAUGGAAUACCAAUUGCGAAGGCAGGUUACUACUAAUGGAUUGACGCUGAUGGACGAAAGCGUGGUA
rnacentral:rRNA from 1 species